rnacentral:lncRNA from 1 species
CUGUAUUUUAUUAAGGAAAAUCUAUCAGCUGUAGAUACUACUGAUUUACAAAUGAGCUGACCUCAGAGAAGGAGGGUCUUGCAUUUGUUUUUGGAAGCUUCUUAACGAAUGUCAUAUAGUUCAAGAGAAUCAUAAAACCCCAUCUCAGACCCCCCAAGGAAUGCCUUGGUAGAAAGGGAAGCUUCUCUUCCCAGUCCCUCAGGACUUGUUGAAUUCUCCAUGAGCUUCACUACAAAAAAUGACAUAAUUACAUAGCACCAUUUGUAUUUACAAUAUGAAUUUUGGAACAAAGCCCAAGAAAGCUCCAAGCUUCCCCAGCCUAAUGCUUGUCCACUUCUUUACAUGUUCAGUGCUCUGUGGAAGCAUUUGUUGUUGUUUAUAUCAAUGCCUUCUCUCCCUAAUUAGGUCUGCACCAUGCAGAUCACAGUCUGUCACGUUGAGAGAUACAGCUGAGAUAGUUUCUUACACUGCAAUGGCAGUAGCUGCAGCAGUCUGGGGGAAUUGCUUUAGAGGCUCUGCUUUGAUUAGCAUCAGGAUUUAAUCACAAUUAGCUGAUAUGGUGCCGGCUGCAAUUUGGCCUGGCCUAGGGAAAACAGCCAGCAUUGUGUCAGCUAGCUCAGCUCUUCACACAUGACCACAUCUCUAAUGAAGAGUCGCCCUUUGGUGGACAUCUGUCGUGAAACGCUCCAUCCUUCUCUCCUUCUUUCUCUUACAUGCUGCGCUAGACAAAAUGGUUAUAAAUGGAGCAUGAAUAUAGAUAUUAGCUUAUUGGUCUGGCUUUCCUAAUGUUCAGGGCACUCGGGUUGUGCUGUGCUUAGUAAAAACCUGAACUCAUUAAAUGUAAGAGAUAACAGGAAGGAUGGGUCAGGUUUUCAACAGGACCUCCCACCCCUCAGCUCCCAUGAGGUAAAGAUGGGAUCAUGUCUCCCAGAUACAUAUUUCCUAAAAAUCUGGGGAUUCCUGUUGGCCUGGAAUGUGCUAUUUGUCUUACAUUGCCUUUUCAGCCUGGGUAGUGAGCAUGCAGUGCUUCAGAUUGCUGUGGGUAUUUGACUCUUGGAUUGACUCUUUGCUGGGUGCUGUUAGGAUGCUGAGAUCUCCAGAGUGGGUGCCUUGUGACUCCCAGGGACUGCAGCCCCAUCACAGCCACCCCAUGUCCUGCGAAGACACAGCAUCCCAUGCCCAUGCUCCCAGGUGUUUAAUAAUGAAAAACAUUCAUGUGCUCAGGAGCACAAAAUCAAUCCUAUUCUGA